CUUUUUUAUAGUGUAACUAACACAUUACAUUUUCGUUGUAAAGUUGAAGAUUUUUCCCUUCUAAAAAU
rnacentral:tRNA from 1 species